rnacentral:lncRNA from 1 species
AAAUAGUUGUCUACCUAUGUAGCCUAUAAAAAUGGUCCAUCUUGCUGUGGUAUUUCCGAGAUGUUGGACUUGGACUGUUUCCGAUUGGACCGUUUCCGAUCCACAUCUCGAGAGGGGCUAUUAGAGUCCCACAUCGUUAAAGAUGUGUGGUCCUUGGGCAUAUAUAUAUGUAUGAGCAAUCCUCCACUCUUGAGCUAGCUUUUGGGUGUGAGUUAGGCCCAUCACUAAUAG